rnacentral:ncRNA from 1 species
GAAGAAACGUUGAUGGGAAUAGUAAAGCGCAGUUUUUCUGUAAGAGAGCCGGUGGUUGGUGCAAACCGGUGUCAAACGCGUUUGAAUCCACCCCGGAGUUGCAUGGCGAUGAGCCAGUGCCGGUUUUAAUGCCGUUAUGUGAUGAAGAGGAUUGGCUUUUGCCGAUCAAUCAGGGUGGCAACGCGGGUAGCUCUCGUCCCUUUA